AGAGUUUGAUCCUGGCUCAGGAUGAACGCUGGCGGUAUGCGUAACACAUGCAAGUCGAACGAAGUUUUUCGGAACUUAGUGGCGGACGGGUGAGUAACGCGUGAGAAUCUGCCUUAAGGAUUGGGACAACAGUGGGAAACCGCUGCUAAUACCAAAUAUGCCUUUUAGUGAAACGGGUAAAACCGCCUUAAGAUGAGCUCGCGUCUGAUUAGCUAGUUGGUGUGGUAAGAGCGCACCAAGGCAACGAUCAGUAGCUGGUCUGAGAGGACGAUCAGCCACACUGGGACUGAGACACGGCCCAGACUCCUACGGGAGGCAGCAGUGAGGAAUUUUCCGCAAUGGGCGAAAGCCUGACGGAGCAAUACCGCGUGAGGGAGGAAGGCUCUUGGGUUGUAAACCUCUUUUCUCAGGGAAGAAUAAUGACGGUACCUGAGGAAUAAGCAUCGGCUAACUCCGUGCCAGCAGCCGCGGUAAUACGGAGGAUGCAAGCGUUAUCCGGAAUGAUUGGGCGUAAAGCGUCCGCAGGUGGCAAUGUAAGUCUGCUGUCAAAGCGUCUGGCUCAACCAGAUAAAGGCAGUGGAAACUACAUAGCUAGAGUAAGGUAGGGGUAGAGGGAAUUCCUGGUGUAGCGGUGAAAUGCGUAGAGAUCAGGAAGAACACCGGUGGCGAAAGCGCUCUGCUGGACCUUAACUGACACUGAGGGACGAAAGCUAGGGGAGCGAAUGGGAUUAGAUACCCCAGUAGUCC
rnacentral:rRNA from 1 species